AUUGAACGCUGGCGGCAUGCUUUACACAUGCAAGUCGAACGGCAGCGCGGGCUUCGGCCUGGCGGCGAGUGGCGAACGGGUGAGUAAUGCAUCGGAACGUGCCCAGUAGUGGGGGAUAGCCCGGCGAAAGCCGGAGUAAUACCGCAUACGACCUGAGGGUGAAAGCGGGGGACCGAAAGGCCUCGCGCUAUUGGAGCGGCCGAUGUCGGAUUAGCUAGUUGGUGGGGUAAAGGCUUACCAAGGCGACGAUCCGUAGCUGGUCUGAGAGGACGACCAGCCACACUGGGACUGAGACACGGCCCAGACUCCUACGGGAGGCAGCAGUGGGGAAUUUUGGACAAUGGGGGCAACCCUGAUCCAGCCAUGCCGCGUGCGGGAAGAAGGCCUUCGGGUUGUAAACCGCUUUUGUUCGGGAAGAAAUCCUCUGGGCUAAUACCCCGGGGGGAUGACGGUACCGGAAGAAUAAGCACCGGCUAACUACGUG
rnacentral:rRNA from 1 species